UGGAAGUAAAAAUCGUAACAAGGUCUCCGUUGGUGAACCAGCGGAGGGAUCAUUACCGAGUUUACAACUCCCAAACCCAAUGUGAACGUUACCAAACUGUUGCCUCGGCGGGAUCUCUGCCCCGGGUGCGUCGCAGCCCCGGACCAAGGCGCCCGCCGGAGGACCAACCAAAACUCUUUUUGUAUACCCCCUCGCGGGUUUUUUAUAAUCUGAGCCUUCUCGGCGCCUCUCGUAGGCGUUUCGAAAAUGAAUCAAAACUUUCAACAACGGAUCUCUUGGUUCUGGCAUCGAUGAAGAACGCAGCGAAAUGCGAUAAGUAAUGUGAAUUGCAGAAUUCAGUGAAUCAUCGAAUCUUUGAACGCACAUUGCGCCCGCCAGUAUUCUGGCGGGCAUGCCUGUCCGAGCGUCAUUUCAACCCUCGAACCCCUCCGGGGGGUCGGCGUUGGGGAUCGGCCCUCCCUUAGCGGGUGGCCGUCUCCGAAAUACAGUGGCGGUCUCGCCGCAGCCUCUCCUGCGCAGUAGUUUGCACACUCGCAUCGGGAGCGCGGCGCGUCCACAGCCGUUAAACACCCAACUUCUGAAAUGUUGACCUCGGAUCAGGUAGGAAUACCCGCUGAACUUAAGCAUAUCAAUAAAGCGGAGG
rnacentral:rRNA from 1 species